rnacentral:lncRNA from 1 species
AUGAGUCAGUUGGCAGACUGGACAGCCAAAGUUAUACGCAGCAGAAAAAUCCGGACUGCGUCACAGCAACCCCAGACCCCCCGCCCCCACCCAGGCCAGAGCGGGCAAGGACCCCUCACGCAAGGGCAGUCACGGCAGCUCUCGCCUGGGCCAGGACGGGCUCCAACGCUCCCGGCUGCCUCGGGGGGAGGGGGCCGGACCAGGAGAGUGGACGCAAGGAGGCUGAGCGGUCACCUGCAGUCAGCUCCCCGGCCGGCGCCCCACAGGGCCUCUCCGGGGAGCCCCGGCAACCCCUCACUUGCAAGGCAGACGCGAUGCCAAGGCCUCACCUGCCUGCACGCCCGCCCGCCCCCCGCGCCGGGGAAUUCUGAAUGCCUGAGCAGUGACACAGCACUGGCUCUCCCCCAGCACAAGCGCCGACCCUCGCAGAGGGGACAAGAAGGGGACGCUGAAGGGGCCUGGGUCCUACCAGGGGUGGGGGGAUCCAGGGAGGAUCUGGUUAGCCCCACACUCGCCUGGAGGUUGGUGGGGGCAGGAGAGGGCAUUUGCAGGGACACCAGGGCUGGCCAGGCCCAGAGGGGAGAGGCCUGGGGCUCCCGAGCUGGGGCUGGGCCAGGCCAGGACCUGAGGACAAAGGCUCACAGCGUCAGACGGCACCAGGAGGCGAUCGGGAAAGAUGACAGGGGCCGAGGCACACACACACACGCAGGACACAGAGGGUCUGAGACCGCACAGGAACCGGCUGUGCAGACGGCGGCGUUGCUGUCCUCCCGUCCCAGGGCCCGGUCACCACAUCCACGGGCACUCCCGGGCCCGGCCCCCGACGGCAAAACCAUCAACUCUACCACUGCCUCAUCCGCAACCGACCCCCACCUCUCCUCUAGGGUCCCAACCCCUCCAUCGGCAGGUGCUGGACGCCACUCCCGAGACACACAGGAAGUGCAAAACGGCAAACAAGGAGAAAAACAAGGCAGGGAACUCAGAAAUCCCACCUUUCCAACAAACAGCCCCCCCCCCCCAAAAAAAAAAAAAACCUUUGCCUCGGGGGUUACCCAGGACCGAAAAGUGGCAGCUCGGACCCAUCCAGGUGCUGUCAUGGUUCUGUCUCCCACCAGUGGGGUCAGCCCAAAAAUAUCAACCGUGGGGUGCACGUGCCCCAGACAGGGAGCCCUGGGCCUGGGUUCAGGGCAGGAGCCAGCAGGAGCCGCCAUGCCCUCUGCUCCUUGCCACCCCCCAAGCCUCCCCCAGCGGGGGCUGCCGCAGCCCUGGGACUCCCAACUCAGAGCCAGGCCACCUCCCCGCAGUGCCCAGACUGGAAACAUCCCGGGGGACAGCUGUGCCCACUAA